AAACAUCUCAGAGUAGCUAAAGUACUCAUUUAAAAUCAUGUGACUUCAGAGCAGCUUCAUAAAUGUUUCGAAAGCAAAGGAAAGCUGAAGUAAAAUUGUAAGCACAAUCAUGGUUUCACCUAAAGAUCACUUAACAACUGAGUUGAAUCACUAAAUGAGAAUCGCCUGUACUUUACAUUCAGGUUACAUCACUGAGCCAACUCCUUGAUAGCAGUAAUGAGAAGCAGUACCCUUGAAUGUUUCCUGAAUAUAUUAUGAAGGAGGAGUUUCUGAAAUUAGAAGAGAUUGAUGUCCAGUUUAUUUUGGAAGAACACACUCAAAUUCUGGUAGUGUUCCUUAUGAAUCAGUGGAUUCAAGAGUGGUGAUUAUGAGAACACCUGUUCCCAGCGCUGAAGCAUUCCGAUGGUUCUUUUAAGCAGUAGCAUAUCUUAUUUUCAAGGCAGCCUGAAGUGAAAGGCAAGCUAAAGUCUUGCUUUAAGAAAUCGCUUAGUCUACCACUGAAGAAUAUUAUUUUCAUUUUUUGUAUAGGGGUUUCCUCAAAGAAAAAAAAAUCAUGACAUAGAGUGGUCUCCAGGUAAGAGGGAAGACGGUACAUUUGAAGAGGCUGUAUCUGAUAAAGCAGAACGUCCCCCCCAUUGAAAUGCCUGAACAUAAGAUAGUACUGUUUUAUUUUCUGUCUCAUAUUCACCGUCUGAUAGCAUGUCCUGUUGUGUUUCAUCUUGUUUAGAUAAAGCUUCUGCCAUUUCUUAGCAACUGCAUUCUGGGCAUUAGUUCCUCAAAUCUUAAAAUGACAUUCAGUUUCCUCUUGAAAGGCCCUCUUAGUAAGACAACACUCCAUAUAAGAGAGCAUUAACUAGCUUUUGAGGGCUACUAUCUUAUCCGGAGACCACCAUACCUGGGAUCCUGACAAUUGGCCAGUUUGCUCACAUUCAGUACACCAAUUUUUUUGUUGAUGUAAUUUAGCUAUAACUAGUGAACUUGUUGUCUAUUUUUAAAGUGGCUGUUAAAAACAAAAUUAUACGUUUGGGUAAACCCCUGCUAUAAAAUAAUGUAUCUUGACAAAGUACCAUAUCUCUACUUCAUUUUUCCAAUGAUUUGUGUUUUGGUACUAUAAACUGUACAGAUAGCCGCUUGUAUUUUGUGUGUUUAGACACGAGGAGACAAUCACAUCUGACCAACUAUGGAGAUUAGCCCAUUGUUCACAUCAGUGUAGUUCUACAAUUUAAAUCUGGAGCAAUAAAUUUAAGCAUUAAGAAUCUUCCUCUUCUAACCUCCCUCCCCCUUUUUUUUUUUUUUUUGGUUGCCACUGUCCAGUAUCAUCAGCAGCAGUACAGGUAGUAUUCUUACCAUACACUUUGCUGUUAGUACCUGGAGCAAAGUUGUUCAAAAGAAGAUACAAAAAUGUCUCUUUCAGAUAUUUUCAGGACACAGUAUUGUAUGACAGGGAAGAUACAGGCAGUAACAGUUAAUCCUCAUAAGUAUUAUCUUAUAAGAGCAAUUAUGCUCACCCAUUGAUUCAGAAAAGUUUAACAAAAGUCAAGAAACUGCAGUUCCUAUAAAAUAGGUUUUAAAGCAGGGGUAGGCAACUAUGGCCACUUUACGACAUAUGAACUUCAACUCCUAGGCUCAGGAAUUCUGAGAGUUGAAGUUUAUAGGUUGUAAAGGGGUCAUAGUUGCCCACCUCUGUUUUAAAGUAUAGGAAGACAUAAAAUUUCAAUGUUGCAGAGCUACAGCAGAAUGGUUUGUUACACAAAAUGAAAACAGUUUCGUAUGUUGAGAGGAACAGGAAAUCUCUCACUUAAUGUAUUUACUUUCCUCUAGAGCAGGGGUGGGGAACGAUGGCCCUUUUAUGACUUGCGGACUUCAGCUCCCAGAAUUUCUGAGCCAGCCAUGGUGUUGAAGUCCACAAGUCAUAAAGGGGCCAUCAUUCCCCACCUGUGUGCUAGAGGUUGCUUUAUAGAUCUUUUAUUAGGGGAAAAAGAUACCUGAAAUUAUUUUUUUCAGUUUGUAAUAUUUAGCCCUUAGACUAGUUUGUAAAUGUAGGUGGGAUUAUAUUUUUUCUUCUAUCUGAAGGACAUGAAAUUCAGAAUGUCUUUUAAGGUGUUCUCAAAUGUUAGCACUUUUAAUAGAAAUGAAAGCUGAAAAUAGAUUGUGAUCUUUUUCUCUUUAAACCUAAUCAGACAUUUAAUUUAUCAUUAUCCUAUUCAGAAAAAACACAAGAAGAUGGGACAGUUAAAAAAAUUUUCUAUGCAGAUUUCUUCAUGGCUAUGGCCAUCUCAUCACAAUUUAGGCUUGCAAAGUAGUUUAUUGGCAAAAAAAAGUGAUAGAAGAGUUUUAAGGGAAAUGCAUGGCUUCAGUUGAUCUAAAAUGAAACUAGAGAGCUUGUUCAGGAUUCUGCAAUUUGCCAGCAAAUAAUUUCUUUUUAUAACUUUUUUUUUAAAAAAAUCUGUAUGAUUUUUGUAAUUGCCAAAAAGGUGGAGUUUAAAACAGACUGGCAGUUUACCAGAAUCUUAGAACAUAGAACUUGUUGAGAAUACACAUUUACAAUUUUUAUAUUCUUUAUUACUGACAUUAACUUUCCCCACCAUACUUUUGAGUAUUUCAUUUGUUCAUAAUUGCCCUGUCAUAUUUAACAAUUGUAGAUCUUUCUCACUUGCAACACAUGAUACGUUGAUGAACAUUUUUUUUAAUCUCAUAAUUGUAAGUACGGAAACAGGAUGGUAUUAGACAUUUAUUCUCUCUAUGUGCAGUUCCUUAUUGAAUCUUUCUCCUUAAAAACAGAAACUAUAUUCCAACAUUUCCCAUUAGAAAAAUACAUGAUUCAAAUAUAUGCAAAGCUUAGUACUUUGCAUAAUAUAUUCCACUUGUGGAACAUUUUGUCACCGAAUAUGAAAUUUUCAAUGUAUAAUUCUAAUGUACAUAAGGAUAAUAAUAAGAUGAAAUAUCUACAUAGCAUUUUUCUUUCAGCAGUUUGUUAUAUUUUAUUUUAUUUUGUCAAGACAGAAGAUACUUUGGCUAGUAGCAAAGUGUUAUGAUUUAAAAGGAGCAGAAAAGGCCAUUGCUAUGAAUCAUUUCCCUCUCUCUGACUUGUUUUCAACAAAUACGUUUUUAUCAUUUUUAUGACUAUUUAACUUAAGAUAGAAAUAUUUGUGAUCUAACACUAAGAGAAUAAAUGAUUCUUUCCCACUAUACAGCAAGCCCAUGAUGUAUAAUUCUGAGAAAGUGACACCUAUUGAAAUCCCCUUAAAACUGCAGAAUUUAGAUAUUCAAAAGAUGCUCUUCAAAUGCACAGAUUUUUAUGAGAUACAUCGUGCUAAUUUUUUAUAGACACAGUUUCAUAUUCUUUUUAUUAUGGUACUUUUUACAUUUUUUGGAACAACUUAGCUGAAUUUUCUAUUGUUUGAAUGAAGGAAUUAUUUAUAAGGAAGGAAAUUGAGAAAAUAGUGUCAAUGGAGAUAUUUAACUUUCAGAAGGGCUUUAUCUUUUUUCUUUUGACAUGCACACAUAUUCACAUACCUAUGUACACACUGAUUUGUGAAGGAUUGGGAGAAUGACCAAGAACUGGCAGGAAUUAUUAGAAGAAUAAAAGUUGAACCGAGUCUGAGUGAUAUUAGAAAAGAUGAUAGUUUGCAAAAUCUUUUAGUGAUAGAUAGUUCUAACCAUAUAACUGCAGGAAAAAAAAUCAUUUUUAUUGUGAGGCUAUUUUAUUCCUGAUGUUAUUUUCUUUAAUAUGAUCUGGCCAUUAUUCUUCAGUAAGCUUUAGGAUGUUACAGCCUAGAAGUUCUUAAUUCCUAGAAUUUGCAUCUGACGUCUCUUUUGACCCAUGCUUUUAUCUCCAGUGAUGUAAGCAUUUGGCUCUUCAGAUUGGCUGAAACUUUUACUCUUGGCCAAAUAGAGAUUGUUGGACUACAUUUAGCAUCUGCUUCCCUGUCCAUUUGUAUUUGACAUGAUACAGAAUAUCCUGUGCAGUAGACAGGCUUUCCAAAAUACUCAUAGGGAUGUCUGUUUGGGUAAAAUAGUUCCUUUCCUUGGUGAUCUUCCAUUCUUUUAGUUGUAAAUCAUCCUAGAUGAGUUUUUUUUUCCAUUCCAAAAUGUUAGGAUAAUACCUUCAGUAUGCAACCUCAUGACUUCAAGUAGUCUGAAGUUGAAUCAACAUGAUGGUUAUUUUUCAUUUUUGUCUUUUUAUCAUUAGAGGUUUUUUUGUGCUAAUUAUUGAGCAAUUGAGUUAUAUGAGGUCAUUUCCCCCCCCCACACACACACACAAACUUCAAAAUAAAUAAAUAAAGACAAAAUUAAAUAUCAAUAUUGUAAAUGCUGGAAACCUCAUUUUCCUACCUCAAUGUUAAACAGCUGGCCUUGUUUGAAAUAAUUUUUGUGACUCCUGUUAAGAAAGAGAGGGGCGAAAAUAUUAGCUUAGGUUCCUUUUGGUAUACAAUGAUUCAUAGUAAUGUACUUAACUGUUUAAUACCCAGAUGUUGCAUGUGUCAGUGUGUUUUUUUUCCUGGAUUUUUUCAUUUUUAUUUUUUAAAAGCUGAUGAAUUUGUAUAUUGUAAUUGUGAUGUUUUACAAAUCAAAUCUGAAUUGUUAAAAAUAUCAAGCCCACUAAUUGCAUAAAAAUAUAAUUACUUUGAUUCCCACACAUUUCAUUUAAUUGUGGUAGAAUUCUACAGCUUUAUUAUUUUUUUCAUUUCACUGAAACAGCAUUUGUAUGUCAUUGUGCAUUAAAGUAUUUUGGUUGCAACUGUUUUGAAAAAGAAAAUAAGUUUUCAGACUUUUCCUCUUCUUUGUGUAAUAACAAAUUAUUUGCAAUGUUGAUUAUAGUUAAAAUUUUAAAUCUUAUUUGUGUUUACCACACAAUGUCCUUAAGGCUGCAAUCCUGAAUGCAAUUACUUGAUGGUAAAAUGUAUUGAAAUCAAUGGAACUUCUAAGUAGAUCUCAAUAAGAUAUGCUGUAAAUAAUUUUUAAAAAUAUAUGAUCUGAAAUGCAAGUACCUUGUGAUAGAAAAGCAGGGUAAAAUAUUUUAAAUAAUAAAUUUCAUAUUUUUGCCAGAGUACUCCUUUACUUUUGAAAAAGGGACAACUCUGCAGGAACCAAUGAUGGAAUUGCCAAGAUUGUUGCUCUACUGAAAUGAGAAGGGAAGCAUAACAUAUUUUGUGCAAGAGUCUGCCUGACAAUAUUGAUAUGCUCAGGAUGUAGUCAACAAGAUAUACCUGAGUAUCAGUUAUGCCAAAUUGUAUCAUAGCCCAGGUAAACCUGUACAAUUAUCUAUAGACAUUACAAGAAUGAAUUACAGUCAUUUCUAGAAGAGAUAGAAGAGAAAUGACAUAUUUUUUUUUGUGUUCCCUCCACUCCACCCUUUUAGGUACCUCAUAAAAUUAACUAUAGGAGGAAAGUUUAAAUUGGCUAUGUCUAUAAUGAAAUAAUAAUAAGACAAAUAAUUAAAUGAACAUUCUAUCCAGGGUGAAAUACAUCCAGCCGAAUCAACAGUGAGUCUUUGAUCACAGCUGGAUGCAUAGUGAUACUCAAAUGGUUGAUUAUGUGUAAUAGCUAAAUGUUUCAGAUAUUGUUUUGAAUAAAUUUGGCAGUUUCACACUGAGGUCUGCUGUUUCCUGGUGCAUAAAAGACACCUCAAAUGUGAGAAAGUAUUCCAUAUUCACAGUUACAGAGAAAUAGGUUUACUUUUUUUCCUCUCUCACAGAAACAUAGACCACAAAAAUGUUCACCAUUCACACUGUUCUCCUAUUUCUGAACUGUGCAGUAAUCUAUUAAAUUUUCUAAUAGAUCUUGUGUAAAGUGUAUGUAUGCUUGUGCAAUUAUGAAAAAGCAGUUUUGGAAAAUGGUGUAUUUAUUUCAAAUCACUUAUGGGGCAUGUACAAAACUGUAUAAAAACAUUCAAUUUGCCCAGUAAAGUUGUUUUUGUGAUAUUUCUGUGUUGUUAAAUAAAGGAAUUUAGUA